GGACGGGUGAACUUUGUGACAGGAGAGAAUCUUCAGCGUGUAACAAAGAAUGUCAGCACGGCUUUCUGAGAACAUCUGACUGUAAAUGUAUAUGUGACGAUCUGUGGACGGGUGAACUUUGUGACAAGAGGGAAUCUUCAUUAUGUACCAAAGAAUGCAAAUAUGGCUUUCUGAGAACAUCUGACUGCAAAUGUAUAUGUGACGAUCUCUGGACUGGUGAACUUUGUGA